GAUGAACGCUGGCGGCGUGCCUAAUACAUGCAAGUCGAGCGAACGGACGAGAAGCUUGCUUCUCUGAUGUUAGCGGCGGACGGGUGAGUAACACGUGGAUAACCUACCUAUAAGACUGGGAUAACUUCGGGAAACCGGAGCUAAUACCGGAUAAUAUUUUGAACCGCAUGGUUCAAAAGUGAAAGACGGUCUUGCUGUCACUUAUAGAUGGAUCCGCGCUGCAUUAGCUAGUUGGUAAGGUAACGGCUUACCAAGGCAACGAUGCAUAGCCGACCUGAGAGGGUGAUCAGCCACACUGGAGCUGAGACACGGUCCAGACUCCUACGGGAGGCAGCAGUAGGGAGUCUUCCGCAAUGGGCGAAAGCCUGACGGAGCAACGCCGCGUGAGUGAUGAAAGUCUUCGGAUCGUAAAACUCUGUUAUUAGGGAAGAACAUAUGUGUAAGUAACUGUGCACAUCUUGACGGUACCUAAUCAGAAAGCCACGGCUAGCUACGUG
rnacentral:rRNA from 1 species